GGUAGGAGUAAAUGUCCGUGGCAGAAGGAAUUGCAUGAGCAAAUGCCUAGAACCCACAUAGGUGUGGCCCUCAGGAGCAGCAAUAUGACCAGUAUGCAGUGAGCAGCUGGUAUGUUCCGGGAGACUGUGCCAAGUGAUUCUGGCGCAAAAGUAAAUAAGGCAGGCAGGCUGUUCUCCAGGUAUAUCUGGGCCCAGAGGUCGUGUGUCGUUAUUGCAGAGUCAAAAAGCUGGUAGCUGCUUUGCAUAGCUGAGAACAACUGGAUCUUGUUUACAUUCAGCCAGAGAAGAUUUCUGGGGUCAUUAUGAGAACUAAAAGCGAGUGAAUGCCUACCAAGCACUUGGAAUGGUGCAAAGAGAGAAGUCAUCGACCACGAUAGCUAAUACAUAUUAGAUACUGCAUUUUUCUUUUUCAUGAUUUAAAUUUUUUGUUAUUAUUUAUUUCUUACUGGGAAAAAAUAAUGAUUUCAUUUGUUUGUAUACUUUUUCUUAUACCUUUCCCCACUCUCUCCUAAUAUCAUUUUUUUAUCACUAAGUUUGUACCCUCUUUUAGAAAACUUUGUAAUUGUAAGCCCUUUGUUUACUCCUUUAUUUCUUAAGCUCUCAACUGAAGCCAGGAUUUCUUGACUCUCUGUUUUGUAAAAUGAAAUAUUAAUCCUCAUCCUCCCUUCAGUGCUUCAGCUCCCAACUUAUAGCAGUGUGCCUUAAUUUUUAUAGUGAUUAACAAGUAGAUUCAUUUAUAAUGUUUAAAUAGUCUUUUAUCUUAAAAGAUAAAAAUCAUAAAAUAAUGAAUAGAAAUGAAAUACCAACUGUAAAAUUUUGAGUCACUUAUUGUAACUUUCUAAAAGUCUGGUGAAGGGUGAAGGCUGCUGUGAAUGUG
ensembl:lncRNA